UACAGAGGGUGCAAGCGUUGUUCGGAAUUACUGGGCGUAAAGCGCGUGUAGGCGGUCUAGCAAGUCGGUCGUGAAAUCCCUUGGCUUAACCAAGGAACUGCGUUCGAAACUACUAGACUAGAGUGUCGGAGGGGAUGGCGGAAUUCCCGGUGUAGAGGUGAAAUUCGUAGAUAUCGGGAGGAACACCUGUGGCGAAGGCGGCCAUCUGGAAGACUACUGACGCUGAGACGCGAAAGCGUGGGGAGCAAACAGGAUUAGAUACCCUGGUAGUCCACGCUGUAAACGAUGAGUGCUAGGUGUUGCGGGUAUUGACCCCUGCAGUGCCAAAGCUAACGCGUUAAGCACUCCGCCUGGGGAGUACGGUCGCAAGAUUAAA
rnacentral:rRNA from 1 species